AUUCGGGUGACGAGUCUCAAAUAGGACGAAACGCGCGUCUUGGAU
rnacentral:hammerhead_ribozyme from 1 species